rnacentral:rRNA from 1 species
UCUUUUCUUUUGCUGGCGACCGGCGCACGGGUGAGUAACACGUAUCCAACCUGCCCUUUACUCGGGGAUAGCCUUUCGAAAGAAAGAUUAAUACCCGAUAGCAUAAUGAUUCCGCAUGGUUUCAUUAUUAAAGGAUUCCGGUAAAGGAUGGGGAUGCGUUCCAUUAGGUUGUUGGUGAGGUAACGGCCCACCAAGCCUUCGAUGGAUAGGGGUUCUGAGAGGAAGGUCCCCCACAUUGGAACUGAGACACGGUCCAA